AUGCCCGUCUCCCCUCCGGAGCCGCGGGGUCCCUCGGGGAGCGCCUGCCCCCGGCGAGUGCGGCUCUCGCGCCCAGCCCCUUUCGGGGACCGCAGGGCGUUUGCUCGCCGCCGGCCCGUCUCCUCUUUGCACGGCGCCCGCAGCCUCGCGGGACCCGCGGCCACCGGCCCCGCGCCAGCCCUAGACGGCGGCUCAGGGGGCAGCGGGACUCGGGGAGCUGGAGGGACCGAGCUGUGCGGAUGCGCUGCCGGGCACGGAGGAAGCCCAGGAGGGAGCCAGCCCGCGGCCCCGAGGAAGCCGGGCUCCUCAUCCUCGCCCGCCAGCCCUGCAAGGACGCUACCCAGCGCUCGCUCCCUGCUCCGUGAGCRCCGCUCGGCCCGGCUCCCGCGCUCUCUGCUUCGGACACGGGGACCCCCGAGCGCCCGGCCGAGCUGGCRGCGCUCGGCGGAGCCUGGGGACACGCGGGACCCCGCGGGGAGGCAGCCAGCCCCGGGUACCGGGACGAGGCUGCCGCUCGGCGGAUCCUUGCUCGUCCCUGCGGUGCUAUUUGGGAGCGGGCAGGGCUCGGUGGGGUUUAAGCCGGUGAACGAGCACGACUGCUCUAGCAAUUCCCUCCCCUGCCCUGCGAGAUUACUGCRGCUGAAAAGAGACAACCAGAAACUUCUUCCUCCCCGACGUCCUCAGGCCCGGCAGCCAGUGCCGAAUCCGCAAGUGGGGCAGGAGGGACUCACCCAUCCCAUCUCGCGGCCGAAAGGAGGGGGACCCCGGUGCAAACGGCCCGGUAUCCUGGCCGCGACCCUGUCCUUGCUCCCGGCGCCCAGACCAAGCACACACGGUGCUGCAGGGCCGCGCGCUCCAAAGCCCGGCCAAGCGCGAGGCCAUCGCAGCGGAGACGGGGAAGCGAACCCGCCACAGCGGGGAAAGCCCGCUCCCAGGCACGGCUCUGCCCGCCUUUCCCAGCUCCCUCCUACCCACCAGACCUGCUCGGACUCGAGCUUGACUUCAGCCAUCCGACAGCCGUGA
rnacentral:lncRNA from 1 species